ACGCUCGACACCUACGGGAGCAGCAGUAGGGAAUCUUCCACAAUGGACGCAAGUCUGAUGGAGCAACGCCGCGUGAGUGAAGAAGGUUUUCGGAUCGUAAAGCUCUGUUGUUGGUGAAGAAGGAUAGAGGUAGUAACUGGCCUUUAUUUGACGGUAAUCAACCAGAAAGUACACGGCUAACUACGUGUCAGCAGCCGCGGUAAUCUGAGCGGGCGUGGCAAGGC
rnacentral:rRNA from 1 species